rnacentral:rRNA from 1 species
CCUACGGGUGGCAGCAGUGAGGAAUAUUGGUCAAUGGCCGCAGGGCUGAACCAGCCAAGUCGCGUGAGGGAUGACGGUCCUAUGGAUUGUAAACCUCUUUUGUCAGGGAGCAAAGGCCGCCACGUGUGCCGCUUUGCGAGUACCUGACGAACAAGCAUCGGCUAACCCCGUGCCAGCAGCCGCGGUAAUACGGAGGAUGCGAGCGUUAUCCGGAUUUAUUGGGUUUAAAGGGUGCGCCGGCGGAAUGUCAAGUCAGCGGUAAAAUGUCGGGGCUCAACCCCGUCGUGCCGUUGAAACUGCCGGUCUUGAGUGAGCGAGAAGGAUGCGGAAUGCGUGGUGUAGCGGUGAA